CAAGAAAGAAAUCACACAUGACUUGUUUCCCUUUUGCUUUUAUAACUUUAUAUCACUUUGCUUUAUGCUUAGGAGAGAGAAAUAAGUGGUGGGAAUAACUGUAACUUGAUGAGUGAGGACUGAGGAUCAUAAUGCAGGAGUGAGAACAUUAUUAGCAUACCAUCCACAAGUAUACACACAUUCUUCAUCUUCAACGAUAAACUUGCAACCAUUUUCUCUCUCUAAAUCUAUCUCUGCUAAACCAUGGAAGGAGUGUCUUCAGCAGCCAUUGAAGUUCUUGUCCAAAACCUUCAACGGUGUUUAGCACUUUGAUUCUGAAAGGAGUGGCUACAAAGGCUUUGUUUUGGGUUGAGAAGUAAUUCGUGCUGUAAUAAUGUCUGAUUGGAAAGGUGAUUGUGAUGCUGGUUUCAGAGUUUGAUCAAGCGGAGAAAGGAUGCGAUAUUUUGAGUCUAAUGUGAACAUAUUAUCCAAAUGUUUAUAUCAACAGACGAGGGCUGAAUUCUGUUUAUUUCUGGUAAAUGUUGGCAGCUUCUGUAUUCACAUACUAAUAUCCACUUUAAAGGCUUGCUUUUGUGACGUGUA